GGCGGCGGCGGCGGCGGCGGCGCGCGGCCUGGGCUCGCGCUGGGCUCCGCGCGCCCCCCGCCCCCCUCUAUGAGGCAGAGGCCGCGGCGGCCGUUAGCGCUGUCGCUCCGGGGGCCGCGGCGGGCGGGGCUCCGGCGGGGCCCGGCCUAGUCCCCACCCCAGCCCGGCUCCCAGCCGCCCGCCCUCCCUCCCUCUCCCCGAUGCAGGGGGCCGAGCUCCGGGAUGGCGAGGCGGCGGCGGCGGCCGCUUCCUACCGCGUCCUGAGCCGCCUCCUCGGUUAUGGAGAGGCGGCCCCCGAGCCAGGCCCGCCGCCGCCGCCGCCGCCCCCAGGCCAUGGCCCUCCGCCGCCACCCUUCCUCACGCGGCCCGGCCCGCGGGGCUCUCGGCCGCCGCAGCUGAUGGUGUUCCGCAACGUGGGUCGGCCGCCUGAGGAGCAGGACGCGGAGGCGGCUCCGGAGCCGAGACCCUCGGAACUGCUGUGCCCCCGGCACCGCUGUGCCCUGGACCCCAAGGCCCUGCCGCCGGGACUGGCGCUCGAGCGGACCUGGGGUCCGGUGGCUGGACUCGAGGCGCAGCUGGCGGCUCUGGGGCUCCGGCAGCCGGCGGCGCCGGGGGUCAAGACAGUCGGUGGGGGUUGCUGCCCGUGCCCGUGCCCGUGCCCCCCGCAGGCGCCCCCUCCACAGCCUCAGCCGCCUGCUGCCACCCCGCAGGCCGGGGAGGACCCCACGGAAACGAGCGACGCACUGCUGGUCCUGGAGGCCUUGGAAUCGGAGGCCGAGAGCCUGGAGACUAACAGCUGCUCGGAAGAGGAGCUCAGCAGCCCGGGCCGCGGAGGAGGAGGCGGCGGCGGCGGCGGCACCCGGCUCCUGCUGCAGCCCCCGGGCCCCGAAUUGCCCCCGGCGCCCUUCCCGCUGCAAGACUUGGUCCCUCCGGGGCGCCUGAGUAGAGGGGAGCAGCAGCAGCACCCUCCUCCGCCCCCGCCGCCGCCUGGGCCCCUCCGGCCGCUGGCGGGCCCUUCUCGGAAGGGCUCCUUCAAAAUCCGCCUCAGUCGUCUCUUUCGCACGAAGAGCUGCACCGGUGGCUCGGGCGCUGGUGACGGGGCCGGCAAGAGGCAUUCUGGAGAGCUGGCUGCUUCCGCCGCGAGCCUGACGGACAUGGGAGGCUCUGCGGGCCGGGAGCUGGACGCGGGGAGGAAACCCAGGUUGACAAGAACUCAAAGUGCCUUUUCUCCGGUCUCCUUCAGCCCCCUAUUUACAGGUGAAACAGUGUCGCUUGUGGACGUGGACAUUUCUCAGCGGGGCCUGACCUCUCCACACCCUCCAACUCCCCCUCCUCCUCCGAGAAGAAGCCUCAGCCUCCUAGAUGAUAUCAGUGGGACGCUGCCUACAUCUGUCCUUGUGGCUCCGAUGGGGUCUUCCUUGCAGUCUUUCCCCCUUCCUCCGCCUCCUCCACCCCAUGCCCCAGAUGCAUUUCCCCGGGUUGCUCCCAUUCGAGCAGCUGAAUCCCUGCACAGCCAGCCCCCCCAGCACCUCCAGUGUCCCCUCUACCGGCCUGACUCGAGCAGCUUUGCAGCCAGUCUUCGAGAGCUAGAGAAGUGUGGUUGGUAUUGGGGGCCAAUGAACUGGGAAGAUGCCGAGAUGAAGCUGAAAGGAAAGCCAGAUGGUUCUUUCUUGGUACGAGACAGUUCUGACCCUCGCUACAUCCUGAGCCUCAGUUUCCGAUCACAGGGUAUCACCCACCACACUAGGAUGGAGCACUACAGAGGAACCUUCAGCCUGUGGUGUCAUCCCAAGUUUGAGGAUCGCUGUCAGUCCGUGGUAGAGUUCAUUAAAAGAGCCAUUAUGCACUCCAAGAAUGGGAAGUUCCUCUAUUUCUUGAGAUCCAGAGUUCCAGGACUGCCACCAACUCCAGUCCAGCUGCUCUAUCCAGUGUCCCGAUUCAGCAACGUCAAAUCCCUCCAGCACCUUUGCAGAUUCCGGAUCCGACAGCUUGUCCGGAUAGAUCACAUCCCGGAUCUCCCACUGCCUAAACCUCUGAUCUCUUAUAUCCGGAAGUUCUACUACUAUGAUCCUCAGGAAGAGGUGUACUUGUCUCUAAAGGAAGCGCAGCUCAUUUCCAAACAGAAACAAGAGGUGGAACCCUCCACGUAGCGAGGGGCCCCCUGCUGGUUACCACUGAGGGCCGGCGUAAUUUGGGAGUUCAUGACCUUGUUGGUCUGUGCAUGCCAUCGCCUGGAGCUUUCCUGCCAUAGCGCCUGGGGUCAGGGCAGAGGAGCAGAGCAGUGCCUGUCUCAGGCAUUUGGUUGCCAAGCUCUGAUUUUGAAGAACCAGAUGAAGUUACCAUGAAGAGAAUGAGGAAGAGCAAGAUGGAAUAGGAAGGGCUGGGAUUCUCUGCGCAGAGAGCUGGGUUUCCCUCCAGUCCUGGGGCUUGGAGCAAGCACACAGCCGUCACUUGGGAGUGGGAGCUCCGCCGUCACAUCCACCCCUGUGGUGUCCUGGGACUGAAUGAGCUCCUUGCAAAACUGGAAGAAGUCUCAACACUGUUUUUUUUUCCCCCCAGAAGUUUUGUUUUUAAUAUUUUUAUUUCUCAGUAUGUGAAACUCACUUUGAAGGCAGUUGGGGGUUUGUGUCCGUUAAAUUGGAGGUGGUGCAAAGGGUGAGCAGGUCCAAAGAAGGGGCGGGAGGAGAAGAUGCAGCCAUUCAGCUGAUGCCAGAGGCAGACUUGAGCCUUCACCAGGGACCUCAAAGAUGGGGGAGGAUCCAGAGGAGUUCAAAGCAGGAUGGGAGGUUUCUGAAGGAAGGGACUCUGCUCCUCUGCCAUAGGUGGCUUCAGGAGGAGCAGGAGAGAAAGGAGGGUCUUGAAGAAAAGGUUAUUAGACAAAACUGACAAAUGGCCUUUGCUGGGGGAAGUGGUGACUCCUCGUGUCCUUUCCUUACAAGCUUUAGGAACCUGAUUUCAAAGUCCCCUCUUGUGGCCGCUGUAUUAGUUGUGUUUACUUCGUUCCUUAAGCUCUGUUAACCCUGUUGUUCCUUCAUCUUCAGCCUGUACCUCAUGGUAACGUCGGUCCUGUUGCCACUGCUGUGAGGCACUGUUUCUCGUCGCCUGAGUGGUGCAGAGCUCCAGUUGUGGGCUGCCGAGGUUGGUGGUGUGUGCAUCCAGAUUCCCGAUGGCAAAGUGCACCCACAGCUCGAGAGUCAGUGUCACCUCUCUCUCCACCACGAGAGGGAAUAUGGAGGUAGGGGAGAAGCAAAGCUGUUGUAGUUGAGCUCAUCCUAGAGAAGUCUCGGUGGGAUCUCAGGCUUCACGAAGGACUUGCGCAGGAAGAGAGUGCUACGUCUCGUGUUUUAAGCUAGUCGCUGCUGUCCUCCUCUGGAAGGAGAGGUAGCAGGGGCUUCUUUUGUCCAAGCUAGCAACCCAGCUGCUUCCUGUGUCAAUCCUGUUUGUUCUCCAUUUAUUAGGAAGUUCUCAGAUACUGAAGUAAGAGCUGCUGCUCUUUCAGGUGGACAUGGGGUGGGGGAGCCCAGUUCCAGGGCUUCCCAGCAAUUAUUUGUUCCUACAGCUGCCCCUUGCCAGAUCAUAACAGGGUUAGGAGUUUGCGGUCCUACAGAGCUGCUCUGGGGAGAGCUUUGCUGCUGAGUCGUGAUGGUUGAGCAGUUGGGUCUUUGUUACUCUUUGCCAGUAAGUUUUCUAUGAGACUGUUUCUCUUGGGUUCCCUCUGUUCACCCCUGCCUUAUCUCAUGAGAUGGAUACUAUUGUUAGGUUUGCGGUUUCCUGAUGGCUCCAGGCUUGGAGGCCCCAGUUUCUUGGUCCUUUAUAGAACUGCGUCACCUGAAGGCGUUGGCCUCUGCCUGCUGUCUUUAGCGGAAUGGUUGGUCUCCGUCCUUCAGCUGAGUGGGGAGGACCCUGUGUCAUUACCAGGCUGUAAGAGGUGGCCGCCUGUUUCAUGGUAUGGUACCUUUUCUCUCCUUGGCUUCUGCGGCAGUUUUACUAGCUAGCUAAGGCUGUGAUUCCACAGGUUGGCUUAACUCCCACAAGUCCUGCCUCUGGGGGUUACAGAGCAGAGCCUAAAGCCUAAAAUCCGUUGAAAUCCUCAAGUGGCUGAUAUGCAACAGCCUGGAAUUUCAGUGAUCCAUAAAGUUAAAAUUGUGUUUUAGUGUGUGCUUACCUGGCUAUGGGCCAGAUACUGUGGAAAAUGUGAGGCAGAAGACACGUUCCUGGCCUAAGGGAGCUUUUUGGGACUGCCACACAUGAAGCAGUUGGAGGACAACUCACUGUGGCGCAGAAUCAAGGACCUCUCUUCAAAGAUGCUGAGGGUGGGUGAGGUCGGGGUAGACCAGAUGGUCCAAGAAAGCUCUCAGUUGAUGAGGGCAGGACAAUGAGAUGAGAGAGACACAAAGUCUGCAUGGGAUGGAUUGCACAGCGCACAGCCCUGUUAGAGCAAUAGCACUAAAGAAUCCUUUCUCGGGGCAGUGGUCUAGACUGAAACUUCCCAGUUGUCAGGCAGGUCUGCAAGCAAAGGGUAUGUGGUAGUGAGGUGGAGCCUGAAGCCCGGCUCCCGCUCAUCACCAAAGAUGUCACUUUCGUGAGCUCAGCAUGUGGGGAGGCGGAGCUCUGCACCUUGAGGUACUGGGUUCCCACUGUGCAACUCAUACACCCGGUCAAAACCAAACCAGCUGAGAAGAUGUGAGCUGGGCUCAGCACCUGCCUUCUCGCUCCUCUGGGGGCAGAAGUGUUUAGCUGUGUCCAUGGCCCAGACUAGCCAGACUGUUCCGUGUGCGCUGCAGAACAGGCCCGUGUGAAAGGAAGCAGGCUGUGUGGGAUGUGACGUGGGCAGCCUCGUGUGGAACAAGUCAGACCAGGCUGAAGGAAGGGCAGCUGUCAGGUGCAGUGGGCAGAGGGUCAGCAGAACACAAGGAGGGGGCAGGCACGGGGCCAGUGGCAGCACACGGCCUUCACCCCUCUUCCACAGUGCUGUGAGCGGCAGAGGAGCGCACGCCUUUCUGCUUGCUGACUUUAAAGUCACAGCCUAGAAGAGGCCUUCCCUUCCCGGGGCCUGUGGGUGAGUCCUGAGUUGUGGAUGAUGGUGUCGGCGCCCUUGGCCUUGGCCUGUGAUGUAUAACCCUCGUGGUGUGUUCAUAACCUUCCUCAGGGCAGGUGUGAACCAGUGUGAGCCAGUGACCCUGCUGCUACAAGAUGCUCUUCCUGCAAGUGCUGGGGCUGUGCUGGAGGCACGGGAGGGCGGGGCUUUGGUGAAGGGAACUGGAUAAGUGGGCGCAGCUGGCUCUUAGGAAUGGGCUGUGACUGUCAGCCUGGUUGCCUGCCUGUGCCUAGAUAAAGUGAAUGUAACACUCCGAAACGAGAGCUGUGGAUGGCUACAGCAGCCUCCUGAGAAGAAAGACUUGGCAGGAAGCCUGACUCCAUGGCUCCUACUCCUUCCAUCUUUCCUCCUUCCCACUUGGGCACCUUGUUGAGGUUGGGUAUGACGUGCAGUUUGCUGUAUGUGCCCCUCCAGGGCUCGUCCUGGAAGAACUGGGGACCUAGGGGAUGGUGGUCAGAGUUCCCAGAGCCAGAUGUGAGAGAUUGCAUAGGGCUAAGGGUGCCCUGGGGUGCCAGCCUUUUCUGCCCUCACCCUGGGCUCCCAGAAGAGCAUACCUGACUGCAGUCCUCUUAUCCCAGCAGGAUGUGGGUCAGGGAGACUCCAUAGGGUUAGAUCCUUCCCUUCCCUGCUGCCUCUCCCGUAGCUUUUGCACCCUGAAGUUGAGAGGACCAGGCACUGGGGAAUAGCUCUGCGGCUGCUGGGCGGAGGUCUGAAAGUGGGUGUGGGUGUCUCUGUGUCUGUAGGUGUGUGUGCGGCUUUGUGUCUUCAUUUGCAGAAGUCUUGCCACCAGUUGGAGUGUUGAGAGCACCUCCACUGGGGGGAGACCUGGCAUUUGUUUUCUACUUUUUAAGAGAAUGCCACGCCCCCUGUGCGUAAGGGUGGAGCUUUUGAGUUAGACAUUUUCCCUAUGGGAAUCCUCUUGGUUUGCUUUGUGGAGGGGGGAUGGGUAAGUGAUUUUAUCUGACCGUCGACAGCUGUUCUCACACUGAAUUUGUGCUAUUGCAUACAUGUAGCCAUCUUUCCUUUCACUGCAGCAGUGUUUAUCAGUAGUUCAGAAUGAUUUAUUUGCUCCUGGGGAGUAAAAACUUUUUUUAUUAAAAAACAAAAAGAAAAAAAAAA